AACGCACCUUGCGCUCCUUGGUAUUCCGAGGAGCAUGCCUGUUUGAGUGUCAUUAAAUUCUCAACCCCUCCAGCUUUUGCGAGUUGUGAUGGGGCUUGGAUAUGGGGGCUUGCGGGUCUUUACUGAUGGUAAAGGUCAGCUCUCCUGAAAUACAUUAGCGGAACCGUUUGCAGUCCCGUCACUAGUGUGAUAAUUAUCUACACUGUGAUGGAUUGCUCUCUGACUAGUUCAGCUGCUAAUCGUCCGUUAUGGACAAUGUUUAAUGAACUUCUUGACCUCAAAUCAGGUAGGACUACCCGCUGAACUUAA
rnacentral:misc_RNA from 1 species